ACAGUACAAACUGAGCAGGCCACGGAUUCCUCUGGAAUCCAUGGAGCCGGGCCGCAGUUGCGGCAGCAGAUGAUCUCCUGUACAUCUGUGGGACAGUU
rnacentral:ncRNA from 23 species